AUUAUUGGACCAGUUCUUUGACCAUGCCAUUGGUAUCAACGUUCCAAGGUCCCGCUUCCUACCAGUUAAGGCGACAUCAGAUUUGCAGCUAGUACAGUCUGAUCUAUAUACCUUGGUUGAUGGCUUCGUUACACGUAAUUCAGCUAGAACAAAUCCAUCAAAUUCCUCAAUUGAACUUGGUCCUGAGUUCAAGAAGGUUGGGAGCUUCAUUGGUCGCUUCAAGUCCAUACCUAGCAUUGUUGAGCUUGACAGCUUGAAGGUUUCCGGUGAUGUUUGGUUCGGUUCUGGAAUUGUACUGAAGGGCAAAGUGACCAUC